CAACCUGCCCAUCACUUGGGGAUAACCUUGCGAAAGUAAGACUAAUACCCAAUGAUAUCUCAAGAAGACAUCUGAAUGAGAUUAAAGAUUUAUCGGUGAUGGAUGGGGAUGCGUCUGAUUAGCUUGUUGGCGGGGUAACGGCCCACCAAGGCUACGAUCAGUAGGGGUUCUGAGAGGAAGGUCCCCCACAUUGGAACUGAGACACGGUCCAAACUCCUACGGGAGGCAGCAGUGAGGAAUAUUGGUCAAUGGGCGAGAGCCUGAACCAGCCAAGUAGCGUGCAGGAUGACGGCCCUAUGGGUUGUAAACUGCUUUUAUAAGGGAAUAAAGUGAGCCUCGUGAGGCUUUUUGCAUGUACCUUAUGAAUAAGGACCGGCUAAUUCCGUGCCAGCAGCCGCGGUAAUACGGAAGGUCCGGGCGUUAUCCGGAUUUAUUGGGUUUAAAGGGAGCGUAGGCCGGAGAUUAAGCGUGUUGUGAAAUGUAGAUGCUCAACAUCUGCACUGCAGCGCGAACUGGUUUCCUUGAGUACGCACAAAGUGGGCGGAAUUCGUGGUGUAGCGGUGAAAUGCUUAGAUAUCACGAAGAACUCCGAUUG
rnacentral:rRNA from 1 species